CUGAAAUCCUCGUCUUUACCUUCUCUUCUAUUUUUUCUGUUUUUCAACAUGAUAUCAGAGCUCUCUGUUCCAUGAAUACACUCUAUUCCGCCUCAUCUCAAUCUCACACCCUGAGCCUCCAUUGCUACCACUACCGCCUCCACAGCCGUUGUCGUCAACACCGCAGCUGACACUGCUGUCACGACCGCUACUGCAUCUCAAAUCUUCUCCGGAUCUAACGUCUACCACACCCUGCCAUC
rnacentral:lncRNA from 1 species